UAGGGAAUCUUCCACAAUGGACGAAAGUCUGAUGGAGCAACGCCGCGUGAGUGAAGGAGGUUUUCGGAUCGUAAAGCUCUGUUGUUGGUGAAGAAGGAUAGAGGCAGUAACUGGUCUUUAUUUGACGGUAAUCAACCAGAAAGUCACGGCUAACUACGUGCCAG
rnacentral:rRNA from 1 species